GUGUGGGGGGGGGAGCACUAAAAUAAAGCUAAUGAAUGCUGGUAUGGAACAGGAAAAUAUGCCAGUGUACUCGGCUGUUUGGCCAUCGCUGAGUUAAUGAACAGUCAUGGAAAUGUGUGGUAUGCCAGGCACUUAGAAAAUGGCACUGACCAACAUGGCUGCCUGCAAAUGUUUAUCAUCCUUAAGAAGCAGGUGUUCCUGCGGAUGGUGGUACAUGUCUGUAAUCCCAUCGCUCGGGAGACGGAGAGAAAAUAAUAGCCAAGGCCAGUCUCAGCUACAUACAGAGUUGGAUGCCAGCAUGGGCUACAUGAGACUCUGUAUAGGGGGUAAAGCAGCAGCUAGGAAUGCCAGCUGUGCCCACCUUCUCAUGGAGGGAGUAAGACAGGGAUGCAUGAGUCUAGACCCAGAGCUAUAGGAAUAUGGAGUGGGUGAGGGGUGGGGGGUAGGGAGACCCUGGACCCAAGUAGGGAGCAGAGUUCCUGCUGAUAUGCAGGAAGGGGUUAGAGAAGCUAGAGUCUGCAUGUCCCAAGUCCUCCAGAGAUAUGUGGACCAUCGCCAAAGUCCCGAGAGAUAUGCAGGACAGUUGGAGAGACACAUGGUAGGUCAGCAGGGAUGGGCACAGGUGACAGUGCAAGGCAGGGUUAGGCUUGGGGAUGUAGAAUGAGUUACCAGAGGGACACCAUGCAAUUGUCAUCUCUCGGCAGAGUCAUGACGAUUCAGCUUCUGACAUGCAGGGCAGGGCCAUGGGGGAUCGCAGGGAUGGAGGCAGGACUCUGCCAGAGCGUCCAGAUGGGACUUUGUCCAUUGUGCUAAACAGCGGAACUCAAGAGUCCUGAAAUUCUGUGGCAGAGGGACGGUGGAUAGCUAGGUCCUGAGCUCCAAGACCUACAACUCCAUGUCUUCUGGAUGAGAGAAGGUGGGCUGGCAGGUGAGUUGUACUCGCCUACUCUGACAAGUCUUGGUGCUUAGAACAUGGAGAUGGGGGUUCAGAGGCCUCACCUAGGAUCAGCAGGGAAGGGCUCCAGGGUGACUGCAGAUAUGAUCGGGUAAGGGAUGUGGGCUAGCCCUGAGUGUCCUGAGAUUGCAGUCUUGAAGCCUCUUGAGACCACAGUGACUGUCUGAAGACCCUGGAGGGAAGGCUCACCCCAGUGGCCAUCCCUAACCAGCCAGACACUAUGGAGCCCCGGCAGCCAGUGGGGCUGGGCCAAAGAGAAACGGCUGAGCCCCGGAGACACAGGCCUUCUCCAGCUUGAAAGCACAUCUGCUGCAGAGUUUGGGCUCCAUGUCACCCCGUGUGUAUGCAGGGAGUAGAUGGCUCUGAGGCUGGCCUCAGCUAACAGCAGCCCAGGCCAGGUGGCCUCCUGGUCUCCUGGGUCUUGGGUGCCUCUAUUCCUACAAAGACAGGAAAAUAAGAUGGCAUCCAACAGACAUCCUACAGCCGACACCGAGCAAAGACUGCUCUACCCUGAUAGCUGGGGCCCUAAAGUUGGUCCCCUGGGCCUGUCCUCCGAAGCAUGGAUGACCCGGCGUGGGAGGGAUCUGGGGGACAUCUGGAGUUGUGGCAUUCAGGUAAGCUGGAGGUGAGACAUAUCUGAAGAUCAGGAACCUAAGCCUGGCCCGAGAGGAGGCUGUGUGGAGAUCAGGGAGGUUGGGGCAGGUGUCUGAGUUGACAGGUGGGAUCAUGGAAGCUGUAGGUCUGAGAUAUGGUGACAGCCCAAGAAGGCAGCAAGGUUGGCAAAUUAACAAUGGUGGGUGUGGACUUCUGGUCCCUAUCCUGCUCCUCAGCCCCCCACCCCACCCCUCAGCCCUCUCUGUACGCACGGAUUAGGUCUCCAUCUCCGUCCCCGACCUGGGACUGAGCGCUGGGCCUCUUCUCUAGGUCCUGAAGUACAGACUGCUCGAAUGCUAGGGCGGCAACACGGCUAAAGAAUGCCUUCACGUUCUCUCCUGGAGGCCCACAAGACAGCUAUGACUCAAGGUGCCCUCAGAUGCAUUACGGGCAAGUCCUAGGUCCCAGUACCGACAUGAACACUGCCCGUGUGCAGCAACAACCUGUGCAACUGUGCAGAAUAACCCUCCUUGCCCCACAGUGGGAUUCCAGAGAACCUGCCGUUACUGUGAUCAAGGAGAGUGGGUGCUAUAGGGAAGAUGGAUGCUACUGUGGGGAAGGAACAGCAGAUGGCUCCAGGCAUGGGGUGCUCCCAGUGUUCGUUGUGGCCUAGAGGUGGCACUUUCAGUUUCAAUUCAUACCCAGUCCAUGGCCAGAUACACACUGUCUCUGUGCACUGGAGGCAAGGACUACCGGCCCGAUUUCUGAGUUCCCACAGCCUUGGAAAAAAAUCUCUUUACUGCGUGUCCUUUCCUUUCAUCUCCCCAAGAGCCUGGUUUUCCAACUUUGCUCUUUACACGUCUGUAUCCUGCAGUCUUUCCGUAAUCAAUGCAUGCGGGACGCACUACUCACCGGUUUUGGCUGACACAGACCAGUACUCUGCCUGCAUCUCAUUGGCCAGGUGCACAGCCUCUGCUUCGGCUUGCUCACACGCUGCCCCCGACUGGAAGAAACAGCGCUGGCUGACCAGCCUGCUCUGAAGCCUGACACAAGGCAUGCCAGUGUUGCUCACUGCUCCUCAAAAGCGGGCUGCAAGCAUGGGCACUUUCUGGAAAGUUCCUCGGGGUUGGGCCUCCAGCUUCGGUCUGCUUACCAGGAGAUCCUUCUUGGUUCCCACAAGGAAGAUGAAGCAAGAGCCUGCCUCAUUCUCCCUCAGUGCAUCCUCCAGCCACUGCCUAGAAUGUACAGAGCGGAAACAAGAGACUUGUAGUCAGCCAGGAGGCACAGGGAAGGUACCCUGACCUACACGAAGUGGGAUGCUGGUGCUAGAGCCAGAAGAGCCUCAGUGGGACCAGAAGGAGCUGGGAAUACAAAGGCACUGGUUUGGAAGAGGUGAAGACUCCUAUUGUGAGGACUAGGUGACCUCUGCCCUUUAUCUGCUGGAAAAAUCAUCCUGGUUUCCUUCAUAGGGCCUGGAAGAUGCUGAUGGGAAUGGCCCAGGUAAACAAGGAGGAGGGGUUUCGGUAUAUUAGGUGGAUUAUUUCUGGCAGAUGGUGGCCCUCUGAGAUUGGUCAUCUGCCCACACCUCUGCCCAGUAUAGCAAGUGAAACAUUUCUGUCAGGGAAGAUUCACUAUGAAAUUAUUAGGGGCCAAGGUAAAGGUGGACGGAGGGGCCCCUCGUUCAAAAUGAAGGUUUAAUAUGCUGGCAGCAGGAUAUCAAAGCCGAGUGUGGCCUGUCAGCUUGAGCUCCUGAGCAGCAGAUGGGGAUAAGUCUUUAGAGGUAAGUGGGGACCGAGACAGUAAGUGCCCAUGGUUCUGGGCUCAGCCCAGAGGCUGGGGUUUGGGAGCCCUUCUAGGUAGCUUCAUGAUAUACAGAGACAUCCAGGGGGGUAGAACCUGGGGUUACUUGCCUGGUGUGUCCCAGAGUCUGCACAUCAGUGAGGUCAAAGGCUGUGAUGAUCACUGGACACAGGGAAAGCCAACAGCCAAUCAGCAACAGGUGUGAUGGAGGAGGCUCCCCUAGGUAUCUUCCCAGAUCACAAGGAACUACUGGGGAGGCCCCACUGUGGAGACUAGUGAGGAGUCACCCUGUGGUGGCCUCCUUGGACCUGCCUUUCCAUUAACCUCCCAAACCCCCCAAACCUGUACCUAGCAGCACGGGGCGGGGGGCGGGGAGAGGGCACAGUGAAAGGCCUGAAGCAUGUGGAUUCUGGUAAGAGAUCCUCUGCCACUUGUAGCCCAAUGGGCUUGGGUAAGAGCUGUGACUGUGGAGAACCUGCUUCCCCUGUCUGUACCGUGAUGAGAAUGAUACCCUUAGCUGUCAGGAGGGACACUGUUUUGAAAAGCUGUUGGUCUAGGGCCCGGCUCUAGGCAGA